rnacentral:rRNA from 1 species
GAUGAACGCUGGCGGCGUGCCUAAUACAUGCAAGUCGAGCGAACGGACGAGAAGCUUGCUUCUCUGAUGUUAGCGGCGGACGGGUGAGUAACACGUGGAUAACCUACCUAUAAGACUGGGAUAACUUCGGGAAACCGGAGCUAAUACCGGAUAAUAUUUUGAACCGCAUGGUUCAAAAGUGAAAGACGGUCUUGCUGUCACUUAUAGAUGGAUCCGCGCUGCAUUAGCUAGUUGGUAAGGUAACGGCUUACCAAGGCAACGAUGCAUAGCCGACCUGAGAGGGUGAUCGGCCACACUGGAACUGAGACCCGGUCCAGACUCCUACGAGAGGCAGCAGUAGGGAAUCAUCAGCAAUGGGCGAGAACCUGACGGAGCAACGCCGCGUGAGUGAUGAAGAUCUUCGGAUCGUAAAACUCUGUUAUUAGGGAAGAACAUAUGUGUAAGUAACUGUGCACAUCUUGACGAUACCUAAUCAGAGAGCCACGGCUAACUACGUA